rfam:Leptotrichia buccalis DSM 1135, complete genome.
UUUGGUGAUGUUAGCAGCAGGGAUAUACCCGGUUACAUUUCGAACCCGGCAGUUAAGUCUGUUUACGCCUAAAAUACUUGGAUUUGUCCCGGGAAAAUAGGUAGUUGCCAAAC